GCAAGCUCAUGAGGUAUGCGCAGGGAUAGAGGUCUGCAUGAUGGGGACUGAGUUUGGUGUUAAUCCUCAUAACAUCGCAUUAGACUCAUGGUGUUUCUAGUGCAAGGAUUUUGGAAGAGUGACUCUCCAGGCACUAUCAGAAGACAUGCAAAUGCAUGUAGAGCCAGCUCAUGCACCCAGCAGGGAACAAGCCUUCCCUUAAGGGUUUAUUUUUAACCUGGGUGCCUUUCCUGUCAGAUUUGGUCCCAUGGACGACAACUGCCAUUAAGAGAGAUGAGACCUGCAGCACGGGUAUGGAUGAGCAGCAGCGGGGGGAGGAAGGCGAUGGGAGGAGAAAGCCAGCUACUGUGCUGCAGCCACCUUCUCUGCAAAUUGCUGGGUGAGGGUAUUGCACUGGAGAUCACUCGGCCCAUUGAGGCAAAGCGAUGCCAGCUCGAGGAGCCCUGCAGCCCACUGGAUCCAGGGGAUAGUCUGAGAUCUGCUCUUGAUGUGGUGAAAGCCUGAGGGAGCCUUGCAGGUCCUCUGGGAUGUGGAGGGAGGUGAGGUUUUGGGCUGGCUGUAGAAAGGUGUGGAGGGCAUUCCUUGUGUUUCUGAGGGGUUACGGCAAGUGCAAAGGGUGAGCAAAGCUAUUCAGUUGGUGAGAUGAGGCUAUAAUUAAAGCCUUCUGACCUCCUUGCCUUACCUAAUUUCUCUUAAAUUGAACCUUAAAUCUACUUUCCUUUUCCUUACCCAAGGAUAAAUGCAAAAUAAUGCAAUUAGGUUCAAUGAAAAAACAAAUAGUGGAAAACUGAACAGAGAUAAGAAUCUGAUUUCAUUUCCUGUCAAAUGGUGGUCUUUCUGCUACUUCCUCGCCCUGGCAAAACCUCAAUUGCCAAGGGGACCUUUGCCUCAUCUAUCAUUCAAAAAUAUUAUUCCUCUUUAAUUUUAACACCCAAAGCCUCCAGUCAAGCAAAUAUUUAGCGUGUGCAAAGCUUGCACCAAACAAACUGGGACAAAUUCCCCACCACUGUAAUUAUCCUCCAACACUAUUCUUUGCUCUCAAAUAGCCAGGAUACUCUUGCACGGAGGCUGUGGCUCACUGGAGCCCUGAGGCAUCACACAGGGCUGCUCUGGCCACUUUUCCCACAGCAAAUCCUUCCUUUCUCCCCCAGGAAAGCACUCCAGUUUUAGUGCAGGCACAUGGCUCCCUGAGCAGUGAGGACUCGCCUGUGCCGGUGGAGAACAGAGGUGAAACUGGCACAUGGCUCUCCUCUGUGCCCACAUGUGGAGGCUUGCCCAAAGUCUGCCUUGGCUGUACCUCUGAAAGCAAUUGCUACCUGUGAGGGUUAGGCACCUGAAGGAGAUUGGGGAGUCUCCACAUUGUACCUACAUAUCCUAAAAAAAACAUGGCACUGGGGCCUCAGCUUCAUGUCUGUGAAAUGGCCGUGGUCCUUCCCCGGGGUCUUCAGGAGCGAGAGAGGAGAGGCUGUGUGAGCGUAGCAGAUGGAUUGCUUAAGCCCUGCCACAGUGCCCAGUGUCCAAAUCAGCUUUCCACUUGCACAUAAGAGUUAUUUUAUUCUGUGAUUCCAUGCAUCUGGUUCCGCAGGGGACACUUACCAGCAUGCUCUACUGGAAAUGUUCAUAGGUAGACAUAUUCUUGGUUUAGACCCAAGGAUAAUAAAAAUCAGUGGGGUAUGCCUUUCAUACCCUGUGCAUGGAAAGGGAAAUGAGACAUUGCUUUGUGCAAGGAUAUUGCGUUUUGGUUGUAAGGCAAUUUUUGGUUCCCUUCCUAGAAAGCCCCCUUGAUUUUAGUUUCCAUUUUCCCAUUAAGCAGUUAAAUUGUGGGAAACGUUCAGCUUUCCACUUCAACCUUUUUAAAGUAGUGUAAGUAACUACAAUUUGCUCUGGUUAAAGCAGCACUGCUGGACUCCAGCCCUUUGUGCAUGUACACAGGUUGCUAGAAAUAGCCUGUUUCUGUGGGUUGGCCGUGGUGGGCAGCUCAGCCCCUGCCAGCCACUCGCUCAUUCCCCCCCUGCUGGGAUGGGGGAGAGAUUGGACUGGUGAAAGUUCAAAAACUCGUGGGUUGAGAUAAAGGCAGUUUAAUAGGUAAAGCAAAAGCCACGCACACAAGCAAAGCAAAACACGGAAUUAGCUCACUACUCCCCAUGGGCAGGCAGGUGUUCAGCCACCUCCAGGAAAGCAGGGCUCCAUCAAGCAUAACAGUGACUUCGGAAGACAAAUGCCAUCACUCUGAAUGUUCCCCCUUCCUCCUUCUUCCCUCAGCUUUUACUCUUAAGCACACCACCAUACAGUGUGGAAUAUCCCUUUGGUGAGUUGGGGUCAGCUGUCCCAGCUGUGCCCCCUCCCACCGUCUUGCACUCCCUCAGCCUAUUCAUGGGCAGGGCAGCCUGAGAAGCAGAAAAGGCCUUGACUCCGUGUAAGCACCGCUCAGCAGUAAAUAAAACAUCCCUUUGGUUAUCAACACUGUUUUGGUGACAAAUCCAAAACAUGGCACCAUAUGAGCUGCUCUAAAGAAAAAUAACUCUAUCCCAGCCAAAACCUGUGCACCUGUUGUUUCCAGUGUAGAGGAGUAAUAAGUCAGAGCUUUUAUCCUGGUAUUUUGUUACAAGUGCGUUGUUCAAAGGACAUUGGGUGGACUAGAUCUGUAGGUAAAACUAAAGCCCUUUAUUAGUCCAGCUGUUACAAGUACAAAAAAUUAAGACGCUCUUUUGGGAACAGAGUCAUUCUUUGCUUUGGGGCUGUAGGCAUGAAAACUAGUUUUUUUUCCACCUGUACCAAUUUGUUUAAUAAAAGGCACAGGCUUGCAAUUGUGCACUCAUAGCAGGUGACUGCCUCUGUACUAUUGAAGCUACAACAGGGCAAGAAGUAUAAAAGUAGCACCUGGACAGGAGGAGUUCUGCAAGUAUACAGUGAGUGUAUAAAUCAGGUCAAAGAAAUGAACAAAUUAACCUGUCAAAUUCAAUAACUCAACAUUGCAUGUAAUCCAAAGUUCAACUUUGUUUAGGCUUUUGUUGCUCACUCAGGACCAACUGUUCCAGUAACUUGCUGCUGUUUGGAUUUUGAGUGUGUGUGUUAGCACUGUUGUUUCAAAGAAGUAAUAAAACUUCAAAAACUGGACUUUGAGUUUGCACUGUUUGUGCUUGGGAACUGCAAAUUUUUAAAUGGGAUUUGUCUUUAUCACAUGGAGAGAGUGUGUGUGAGAGAGAGGGAGUGAGUAAGAGGGAGAUCUUUACAUAUCUACAUCAUCUUGAAUUUCAAAGGGCUUUACAAAUCUUAGUCUUCCAAAAUCUACUAAAAUGCUGUGCUUUGCAUAUGAUUAUGUGAAGCUCAUUAGUAAGGGUACUAAUGAGCCUCUACACACCCGAGGCAGAUAAAUGAGGUUCCAGAGUAAAAUGAUUUGCUUAAGGUCAGACUCUUGUAAGCUGACAGCAGAGCUGGAAAUAGAAACCAUUGUUUCCCAGUUGCUCGUACCGUAUUCCCACGGAUGGAAUGUGUGUGUGUUUUUUUUUUUUAAGAUGAAAACACUGCUGUUUGUUCAUGCUGUUUUGCUUCUUGUGCUUUCAAUGUAAUCUUCAGAAAUGCAAAUGUCCUGACCUAAAGCUAUAUAAGGCCUUCAUUAAAAACCUCUCCACAGUAUCAGUCUUCAUGCAAUUGUAUGAAGCAGAAGGGAUAGCCCAAUUUAACAAUUCCCACGCCUCAUAAAAUGAUUGGCCUAGUUUCUUUAAAGUGGGUUUAAGCCAUAGCCUCCGAUGUGAUUUAACACGGAAGCCACACUAUUAACAGUCUAUCUUCUGCCAUUAAGGUAGUGAGUUACUGGAAAGUGAGGGAAGCAGUGUUUGUCUUUCAUGCACUAAUAGACAAUUUUACAUUUUUUUUUUUUUAAUCUUUAUUUUGAGUCUGCAGUGGAGCACACUGACAUUCCUUCUCUCUUCUGCUUUGAGGAGCUGUGAUUGGGAUGGGGAUGAGUGUAGGGAGGUGCAAAACUGGUGCUGCACAAGAGAAGCCCCAGUAUCAGCAUCAGGGCUCUGCCCUGGACACAGGCAGCAACUGAAACACCCCUGCCCACAUCCCAAAGAGAAACUGGGGAUAGUGUUCCCACUCUGGAAAUGGAGAGAGGCUGCAUUAGGGAGAUGCCUAGAAAGUGCUGGUUACACCCUUCAAAGGGUACUGCACCUCCACGGUGGUGUGCUUUACCUGUGAAGGGUGAAACCUCUUCCAUGCUUUUCCUCUUCUCUCCACUACUGUCCCUCCUUCCCUGCUGUGUGUAGAGCGUGCCUUCUCCUCACUUCCCUGUUAUUGCUGGAGCAGAACAGCUGUUGGUCUUGUCAACGAUUUGGAGCAAGGCCAGUGAAAGGGGUUUUUGGCAAUUCUAGGCUUGCAGGGAAGACUUGCGGCCCAGAAAAAACAGAAAAGAUAUAUAUACACACAUAUAUAUGUAGAUAUACACAUAUAUACGCAUAUAUGCAGAUACACAUGAGAAACAAAGCAAGGGAGAGUCUGCCAACAAGCCUACCAUGUGAAUGCGUGCAUGUAUUUUUUUGGCAGGGCACAUGUGACCGUGCCUGCAUAUUUUAUACCAUCUCUUUGUAGUCUUCUCAUCCUGAGCCCGUUUUAGGCUUGGAUGGCCGGGGACAUGAAAUCGUUGCCUGGGAUGGUGGUGCUGAGAAAGGCGUAAGUACCUGCAGCCGUGGUUUACCUGCGACUGGCCUUUGUGGCACAUGGCAUGGACCAUCUAUCCCUGGGCAGAUGUUGUUUUCCCCACCAGCGCUUGAGCCGGCGUGUACAACGCUGGCAAGCAGAGUGUGGUAAACGAAAGCAAACAGUUGACUUACUUCUUGUGUAAACCAAACAGAUGAACACUCAUUCUUCUACUUAUCUCAGCAGGGUUGAAUCAAAUGAUGGCCACAGAGUUCAAAUACCUCAUGUUGAUUAAAAUCGGGGUUUUUUUGUAGGUUAUCUGAAGACAGACUACUUUUUCAAUGCACUGAGACAAUAGCAAUAAAACCUAUAAAACCGUGUUCUUCUUUUGGCACUAGCCCAUUGUAAACAGCAAGCUACCAGGCUUAAUGAGGCAAUUCUGUACCAUCACUUUUAAUAACUGAAUGUUUGUCUCCCGGCUAUUCAGGUGGGCUAUUACUGGUAUUUAAUAUUACUGGCAAUGUUGUUAUAUAUUCUGUGCCAGCCCUGGCAAAGAGCAAGGCGAUUCUUCCAGAUAACAGCCCUGCAAUAGCAUUUUUUUGGAUUUAACUGAGAGAAAGGCCAGGCAAAGCCCCUGCAUGCUUGUAUUUAGCUUUCCCUUUUCCUUGCAAAUGUUUUUUUCAAACACAGAAAGAGUUAAAUGUAAUAAUUACAGGCAUAAGCAUGUUGAUUCUAGCUUCUGUUAUAGCAAACAUAAAAAUGUAUUGACCCAAAAGGUAUAUGUUGAUUGAAGCAAAAAUUUGACGUCAAUAUAAACUCCAAAGCACUCUGUAUCUUGAUGCUUGGCACAUGAACGCUGUAUCAUAUAUACAGUGUGAAAUACUUAGGCUUGUUUUAAUUAGAUGGAAGAUAAUCUGGUGAUUGUGGUUCUCAUGGCAAGUGUAACGAUAUACAGCACGACUAUUUCUGCUGAAAAAAAUGAAAUUGUCAGCGACAAUCUGGAGGGCUGAGCAAACUGUUAAAUGAUGGCAAUUUAUUCUAUCAAUGACACUGAUGGUGUUUUCAGAGAAAGAGAUUCAUAUACUCUACCUAGCGUGCCCACAUUCUUGGAGUGAUUUUUUUUUUCUGACCAGCAUGUUUUGUACCAAUAUUUCCUCCCUACCCAGAAAUCUGCCGAUGGAGAUCAGUUUGUGGCUGAAGCUGUAGACAUUUGGUCCCAGUACCAUCCCUCCCUCCUCUGUAGAUAUGCUGGUACUUGUUUGGGCUUCUCCCUCUCCUUGUGCCUCCCACAUCUGAGGCUGGGUCCCUUGUACAGAUCACCCCACCAUUGUCAGCCUUUCUUCAUGUAAACCAGUGGUCCUGAGCUCAUAUUUUUCUCUGUCCCCAGUUCUGCACGGCACUGAAUUAUCUCCUGAGAGUUAUGCAGCCCUGGGCGAACUGGCCUGCCGAGGAGAGGGCAGCAGCAUGGUCAAGACCUGUUGAAGCAUCGUGGGUGCCUCACAGAGCUCCACCAACAUGCUAACUGGCGGAUCCAACCACGAGGUUUCCACCACGUGCAAAAUGAGGGGUUUCUUCUCUGUGCUAGCUCUGGUGCCUUCAGGGAAAAAUGUGGCAGACAAGACUGGUGCUUAACAGCAAAAGCCAGCUGGAGAAUCCCACUGCCUCCUCUUCCGGGGAAGAGCAACAAGGACAUCCAAGUCAAAGCAGCAAAACAGAGAACUUGCGUUUUCCCUCUUCUUCCAGGGCUCCUCUUUCUGCUGGCUCCUGGCAUGUGGAGGCUGAGAGUUUGGAUGUCUCCAGCUACACCAGUGCAUCACCAGGGAGGAUGACAGGGAGCAGCCUGGCAGUGUGCUGUGCAUCCUACCUGACUUGGCUUUCUAAGGGUUCAGGGAUCUCCUGCUCUAAUCCUUGCAUAUAGCCCAGGUGCAGGAUUCUUGCUUAGUCAGCCUGCCUUCCUUUUCUCUACUUUUUCAGGAAAAGCUCAGCAAAGAUGCCGCAUACAGGUAGGGUAGAGGCUUCAGCAUGAGGCGUCAGAAAUCAUAGCAGGCCGACCAGUGCAAUGGCAGGCCAUUUUGUUGUGUUGCAAUAUUGGCUCUGCCAUUAGCUGCCCAUCACAGUUGUGUUUGGUGCACUGGGAUAAUUUGGAUGGAGACAAAAUUCUGUGUAGCUGGGGUGAAUCAUGGGCUGCAGGAGCUGUGUGAGCUCCAGCCAUGUCUUGCAGGGCGAGCUUGCAUUUUGAGUGACUCAGAUGUUAUCUUGCCUCAGGUUCUUUCCAGGCUGUCAAAAUCAGUGCUGCUGGAUGAUCAUGUGGAUGCCAGAGCACAGAUGGUUUGACCUUAUUCUCCUUUUUUAAAGCAAAUUGGUGCCUUUUACAUAUUCUCAUCCUGGUGUAAAUCUAGCUAAUUUCUGCCUAUUCAGAAGAAAUCCUUAGUAGCCUUAGACGUUUAUGUACCAUUGAGUUGCUACAUAUCCACUUACAAAACUAAUAUUCAGUGUCUGUGUUUGCAGCUAGACAGCAUGUGGGAUCUGGCUGGGGUAAGCCGAAACCUCUUAUGGAUUAUUAAUAAACCCUGUCUGUGCUCUAUGGUGGAUGCCUCUAUCAGUUGAAAUAACAUGCAACCAGUUAAAUAUUUGGAUUCUGUAUAACAACUGGAAUAGCAAAGAAACGGAGAGCCGGUAACAUUAUUAUACAAUUUAUAAAGCCAAGCUACACCCAUAUCUUGGUUAAUGUGAGUGUUUAUAUACACUUACACACACAUAUCUGUGUAUCUAUAUAGUUAACUCUUCAGAUGAAGCUUGUACUGCAUGUGACAUGCUGCUUGAUAAACUUUGGACUGAAGUGGAAUAAAUUGCUCUUUUAUUUGCUGAA